rnacentral:rRNA from 1 species
AUUAAGCAUAUAAUUAAGCGGAGGAAAAGAAACUAACAAGGAUUCCCUCAGUAAGGGCGACUGAAGCGGGAAUAGCUCAAGAUGUGAAUCUGCGCAAUCCAACCAUGGUGCGCCGAAUUGUGGUCUGUAGACUGUGACGUUAUCUGCCGGGCCAAGUCCCUUGGAAAAGGGCAGCAGAGAGGGUGAGACUCCCGUCCGCCUGGUGGAGUGAGUCAUGUGUCAACGAGUCGAGUUGUUUGGGAUUGCAGCUCAAAGCUGGUGGUAAAUUCCAUCUAAAGCUGAAUAUUGGUGGGAGACCGAUAGCGUACAAGUACCGUGAGGGAAAGAUGCAAAGAACUUUGAAAAGAGAGUUAAAGAGUACCUGAAAUUGCUGAAAGGGAAGCGAAGGAAACCAGUGUGUUGACAGUCAUACUUCCUAUAUCACCUGUGGUGUGGGCGCUGUGUCUGUCAGUGGUUCCGCUUGGUUGUCUUUGGUGGAAGAGCGCAGUCAGAGUUGAUGUCUGUUGCUGGCACUGGAGCUGACUGAGCGAGACGAAAUGGUUUUCUUUACCCCGUCUUGAAACACGGACCAAGGAGUCUAACAUAUGUGCGAGUACAGGGGUGUCAAACCCCGGUGCGCAAUGAAAGUGACAGUGGUUGGACUUUUGCACAAUCCGCCGGCCUCAAUCCCUCGGGAGAACGGUCUGAGUGUGAGCAUACAUGUUGGGACCCGAAAGAUGGUGAACUAUGCCUGAAUAGGGUGAAGCCAGGGGAAACUCUGGUGGAGGCUCGUAGCGAUUCUGACGUGCAAAUCGAUCGUCAAAUUUGGGUAUAGGGGCGAAAGAACUAAUCGAACCAUCUAGUAGCUG